AGAUGAGUGGCGAACGGGUGAGUAAUACAUAGGUAACCUGCCCCUGUGCGGGGGAUAACAGGAGGAAACUCCUGCUAAUACCGCAUAGCCAUGAGCACCGCAUGGAGCUCAUGCCAAAUAUCCUUCACGGGAUAGCGCAGGGAUGGACCUAUGGCGCAUUAGCUAGUUGGCGGGGCAACGGCCCACCAAGGCAACGAUGCGUAGCCGGCCUGAGAGGGCGGACGGCCACAUUGGGACUGAGACACGGCCCAGACUCCUACGGGAGGCAGCAGUAGGGAAUUUUCGGCAAUGGGGGAAACCCUGACCGAGCAACGCCGCGUGAGCGAAGAAGGCCUUCGGGUCGUAAAGCUCUGUUGUAAAGGAAGAACGUCGCAUGCAGGAAAUGGUGUGCGAGUGACGGUACUUUACCAGAAAGCCACGGCUAACUACGUGCCAGCAGCCGCGGUAAUACGUAGGUGGCGAGCGUUAUCCGGAAUCAUUGGGCGUAAAGAGGGAGCAGGCGGCCGCAAGGGUCUGUGGUGAAAGACCGAAGCUAAACUUCGGUAAGCCAUGGAAACCGGGCGGCUAGAGUGCGGAAGAGGAUCGUGGAAUUCCAUGUGUAGCGGUGAAAUGCGUAGAUAUAUGGAGGAACACCAGUGGCGAAGGCGACGGUCUGGGCCGCAACUGACGCUCAUUCCCGAAAGCGUGGGGAGCAAAUAGGAUUAGAUACCCUAGUAGUCCACGCCGUAAACGAUGGUCACUAAGUGUCGGGGGUCAAACCCCGGUGCUGCAGUCAACGCAAUAAGUGACCCGCCUGAGUAGUACGUUCGCAAGAAU
rnacentral:rRNA from 1 species